rnacentral:rRNA from 1 species
GUGCUUGAGUAACCAAAAAUAUUAGGAAAGAAAUCGUUAAGGGCGUAUGGCGGAUGCCUAGGCUUUCAGAGGCGACGAAGGACGUGGUAAGCUGCGAAAAGCUACGGGGAUUGGCACACACGAAUUGAUCCGUAGAUAUCCGAAUGGGGCAACCCAAUACAUUGAAGAUGUAUUACUGCGCAAGCAGAGCAAACCCGGAGAACUGAAACAUCUAAGUACCCGGAGGAAAAGAAAUCGAAGAGAUUCCGUAAGUAGUGGC